AUUGAACGCUGGCGGCAUGCCUUGCACAUGCGAGUCGAACGGUAACGGGCCUUCGGGUGCCGACGAGUGGCGAACGGGUGAGUAAUACAUCGGAACGUGCCCGAUCGUGGGGGAUAACGAGGCGAAAGCUUUGCUAAUACCGCAUACGAUCUACGGAUGAAAGCAGGGGACCGCAAGGCCUUGCGCGGACGGAGCGGCCGAUGGCAGAUUAGGUAGUUGGUGGGAUAAAAGCUUACCAAGCCGACGAUCUGUAGCUGGUCUGAGAGGAUGAUCAGCCACACUGGGACUGAGACACGGCCCAGACUCCUACGGGAGGCAGCAGUGGGGAAUUUUGGACAAUGGGCGCAAGCCUGAUCCAGCCAUGCCGCGUGCAGGAUGAAGGCCUUCGGGUUGUAAACUGCUUUUGUACGGAACGAAAAGCCUUCUUUUAAUACAGGAGGGUCAUGACGGUACCGUAAGAAUAAGCACCGGCUAACUACGUG
rnacentral:rRNA from 1 species